rnacentral:rRNA from 1 species
UACGUAGGGUGCAAGCGUUGUCCGGAAUUAUUGGGCGUAAAGAGCGUGUAGGCGGCCCCGUUAGUCCGCUGUGAAAGUCCAGGGCUCAACCCUGGAAUGCCGGUGGAUACUGCGGGGCUAGAGUCCGGAAGGGGCGACUGGAAUUCCUGGUGUAGCGGUGAAAUGCGUAGAUAUCACUUGGAACGCCAAAGGUGAAGACAGUCUGCUGGGGAUCUGCUGACGCUGAGACACGAAAGCCAGGGGAGCGAACGGG